AGGUGGAUUUUGAUGGCGCACAUCUGAUGGACUCACAUCAUAGAAGACUGGAAUCACAAUCUGCUCCAAUUCCUUUUUACACUUUAUGAUGUGUGCAAGCUCCUCUAAGCACCAUCUUGAGGAUGCAUAGCUUUUUGAAAAUAUUACGACAGCGAAUCUG